rnacentral:rRNA from 1 species
CAGCCGCCGCGGUAAUACGUAGGUGGCAAGCGUUGUCCGGAAUUAUUGGGCGUAAAGCGCGCGCAGGCGGUCUCUUAAGUCUGAUGUGAAAGCCCCCGGCUCAACCGGGGAGGGUCAUUGGAAACUGGGAGACUUGAGUGCAGAAGAGAAGAGUGGAAUUCCACGUGUAGCGGUGAAAUGCGUAGAGAUGUGGAGGAACACCAGUGGCGAAGGCGACUCUUUGGUCUGUAACUGACGCUGAGGCGCGAAAGCGUGGGGAGCAAACAGGAUUAGAUACCCUGGUAGUCCACGCCGUAAACGAUGAGUGCUAAGUGUUAGAGGGUUUCCGCCCUUUAGUGCUGCAGCUAACGCAUUAAGCACUCCGCCUGGGGAGUACGGCCGCAAGGCUGAAACUUAAAGGAAUUGGCGGG